rnacentral:rRNA from 1 species
CCUACGGGGGGCUGCAGUGGGGAAUAUUGGACAAUGGGGGGAACCCUGAUCCAGCCAUGCCGCGUGUGUGAAGAAGGCCCUCGGGUUGUAAAGCACUUUCAGUGAGGAAGAACGCCUGGUGGUUAAUACCCAUCAGGAAAGACAUCACUCACAGAAGAAGCACCGGCUAACUCCGUGCCAGCAGCCGCGGUAAUACGGAGGGUGCGAGCAUUAAUCGGAAUUACUGGGCGUAAAGCGCGCGUAGGUGGCUUGAUAAGCCGGUUGUGAAAGCCCCGGGCUCAACCUGGGAACGGCAUCCGGAACUGUCAAGCUAGAGUGCAGGAGAGGAAGGUAGAAUUCCCGGUGUAGCGGUGAAAUGCGUAGAGAUCGGGAGGAAUACCAGUGGCGAAGGCGGCCUUCUGGACUGACACUGACACUGAGGUGCGAAAGCGUGGGUAGCAAACAGGAUUAGAUACCCGUGUAGUC